GGGGACGUAGCUCAGCUGGGAGAGCACCAGGUUCGCAAUCUGGGGGUCGAGAGUUCAAUCCUCUUCGUCUCCA
rnacentral:tRNA from 1 species